rnacentral:lncRNA from 1 species
UCGUAAUAAAAUACGUACCAAUAAUUUAGUUUCAUUUAUUUGUACUUAUAUUACAAACGACAAUGAUAAAUUAAUUGAAAUAAAAAAUCACAUUAAUUAUACCUUAUAAAGAAACUAGUUCUUUUCUAAUAAGGAAAUUUCAGACAUAUUUCCAAUAAAGCCAGGGGUUACUUGAUGCAUGGGCAAUCAUUAGCCCUGCAUUGAUGAUGUUAAUCACAUAAUGGCGUUGUGCCAAUUUUUAAUUUUUUUUUUUGGGACCCAGAACACAAGCUCAUUGGAGUUGAGGUCUCCUAACUUGCCUUUAUUUAGUUUAAAGACUUUGGUACCUAAUUAAAUGGAAAGGUAAAACUGUAGGCACCCAAUUAAUAACUAAAGUAAGUCAAUACCAAAUUUAAGUGUAGGAUUUAUUGUCACUAAUAGCACAUUUAAUAAUGUAAAUAUUCAUCUAUAAUGCUUUUAGCUUGUCUAUGAGUGAAAACUCAAUUCAGUACCAUCCACGUAAUACCAGCCACAGUUUUCUUUUUCUUCCCAAAUUUUCACGCAGAAAAGUAAUAAUAACAAUAAUUUUCGUCAGUCUUUGNNN